rnacentral:rRNA from 1 species
AGAAAACGAGGGGGCCCCCCGCAUGGGGGAUUAUUUGUUAAAAGAUACAUCGCUGAUAGAUAGGCAUGCGUUCCAUUAGGUAGUUGGCGGGGGCAACGGCCCACCAAGCCGACGAUGGAUAGGGGUUCUGAGAGGAAGGUCCCCCACACUGGUACUGAGACACGGACCAGACUCCUACGGGAGGCAGCAGUGAGGAAUAUUGGUCAAUGGGCGAGAGCCUGAACCAGCCAAGUCGCGUGAGGGACGACGGCCCUACGGGUUGUAAACCUCUUUUAUAAGGGAAUAAAGAUGGGGUCGUGACCCCAGUUGCAUGUACCUUAUGAAUAAGCAUCGGCUAACUCCGUG